rnacentral:rRNA from 1 species
CAGUAGCCACGGUAAUACGAAGGGGGCUAGCGUUGUUCGGAAUUACUGGGCGUAAAGCGCACGUAGGCGGAUAUUUAAGUCAGGGGUGAAAUCCCGAGGCUCAACCUCGGAACUGCCUUUGAUACUGGAUAUCUUGAGUCCGAGAGAGGUGAGUGGAACUCCUAGUGUAGAGGUGAAAUUCGUAGAUAUUAGGAAGAACACCAGUGGCGAAGGCGGCUCACUGGCUCGGAACUGACGCUGAGGUACGAAAGCGUGGGGAGCAAACAGGAUUAGAUACCCCUGUAGUCCCUGUCUCCUAUAA